CAGGGUGUAGGUUUUAGGGGUCAAUUUGGAAUUAGGAAUCAAAUGUAGUUCAGGGCCUUACAGCUGUCCUUAAUUAGCCAAUGACAUUAGAAGGGUCUGGGAUUUGUUUAAAAGGAGCAACCAAAAAAGCUUGCCAGAUACAGCAUAAGGGAUAUUAUGCUAGGGCUUAUACCAGCCAUUAGUUCUGAUUACUGGGGAGCUUUUGAGGCGCAAAAUGGCCGUGAUGAUUGGAAUCGCUUUUAGAGUUUCUUGGCUUUGUUGCCUGCUAAUUGUCGGGAUAACCUGUUCUACAUCAAGUGAUGGGUAUCCUGCACCAGGUUCUGAUGCAGCAUGGCUCUAUACAGGCCCACUUAGGUCUAAAGGAUAUGGUAAUUACAACUCUCCAACAGCUCAAUUGCAAGCGCAGCUGACCGAAGAGCAACAGAAACAUCUGGCAGCCAUCCUGCAAAAGCAACUGGCCCCCAUGCCCCAGGCACCUCAGAAAAUGUGGUAUCCAACUCAAAUGCCCCAGCAGGAAAAGCAACCGGCCGCCAUGAGCCAACAGCAGACGCUACCGGCCAGUUAUCCUAAGCAGCCUCAAGCAAUGUUUUAUCCAGCUCAAAUACCCCAGAAGCAACCAGUUACUGAACUUCAGCAUCAGAAGGAACAGGCCUCCAUACCCCAGCUACCUCAGCAAGUGUGGUACCCAGUUCAAAUUCCUCAGCAGCAAAAGCAACCAGCUACUGGUCCUCAGCAGCAGACCGAACUGACCACCAUGCCCCAGAAGCAACCGGCUCCAAUGCCUAUACCGCAGAAACGACCAACAGCUAUGCCCCAGAAAGCAUGGUAUCCAGCUCAAAUGCAGCAGAAGCAACCGGCCACCAUGCAGCAGCAAGUGUGGCAUCCAGCUCAAUUGCCCCAGCAGCAAAAGCAACCGGCUACUGAACCUCAGCAGCAGAAGGAACCGGCCUCCAUAACCCAGCAACCUCAGCAAGUGUUGCAUCCAGCUCAAAUGCUGCUGAAGCAACUGACUGCCAUGCCCCAGCAAGUGUGGUAUCCAGCUAAGCCCCAGAAGCAACUGGCCGCUGAUCCUCAGGAGCAGAUUGAACUGACCGCCAUGCCCCAGCAAGCAUGGUAUCCAGCUCAAAUGCCCCAGAAGCAACCAACCGCUGAACCUCAGUGGCAUCCAGCCAAAUUUCCCCAGGAGCAACCCGUCCCUAUGCGUCAACUGCAGACGGAACUGACCUCCAUUCCACCACAACUGUGGCAAUCCGCUCAAAUUCCCCAGCAGCAUAAGCAACCGGCUGCCAAGCUUCAGCAAGUGUGGCAACUGGCCCCCAUUCCCCAGCAGCCUCAUGACGUGUGGUAUCCAGCUAAAAUGGUCCAGAAGCAACAAGCAGCAUCAACUCGGCAGCAGAAGGAACUGACCACCAUGCCUCAAGAGUGGCAUCCAGCUCAAUUUCCCCAGCAGCAGAAGCAACCAGCCCUAAUGCUUUCACCGCAGAAGGAACUGACCGCCAUACACCAGCAACCUCAGCAAGUGUGGUAUCCAGCUAAAAUGCCCCAGAACCAACCAACCACUGAACCCCAGCAGCAGAAGGAACCGGCCACCAUGCCCCAGCAAGCAUGGUAUCCAGCUCAAAAGCCCCAGCUGCAGAAGGAACCGGCCGCUGAACCUCAGCAGCGGAAGCAACCGGCUGCUGAACCUCAGCAGCAGAAGGAACCGGCUGCUGAACCCCAGCAGCAGAAGGAACCGGCCACCAUGCCCCAGCAAGCAUGGUAUCCAGCUCAAAAGCCCCAGCUGCAGAAGGAACCGGCCGCUGAACCUCAGCAGCGGAAGCAACCGGCCGCUGAACCUCAGCAGCAGAAGGAACCGGCCACCAUGCCCCAGCUACCUCAGCAAGUGUGGCACCCAAUGCACAUUCCCCAGCAUCAACAGGAACUGGCCACCAUACCCCAGCAAGUGAGGUAUCCAGCUCAAAUGCCCCAGAAGCAUCUGGCCUUCAUGCCUCUACCACAGAAGCAACCAACCGCCAUGCCCCAGCAAGAGUGGCAUCCAGCUCAAAUGCCCCAGCAGCAGAAACUGGCCACCAUGCUGCAGAAGCAACCAGCCCCAAUGCCUCAACCGCAGAAGCAACAGGCCACCAUGCCCCCGCAAGUAUGGCAUCCAGCUCAAAUGCCUCAGCAGCAAAAGCAACCAGCUACUGAACCUCAGCAGCAAAUUGAACCGACCGCCAUGCCCCAGCCACCUCAGCAAUUGUGGCAUCCAGAUCAAUUUCUCCAGGAGCAGAAGCAACCAUUCACUAUGCAUCUACCGCAGAAGGAACUGACCGCCAAUCCACCACAACUGUGGCAAUCCGCUCAAAUGCCCCAGCAGCAUAAGCAGCCGGCUGCCAUGAUUCAGCAAGUGUGGCAUCGGGCACAGAAGCAACCGGCCCCUAUGCCCCAACAGCCUCACGACGUGUGGUAUCCAGCUAAAAUGGUCCAGAAGCAAGUCGCUGCGGUGACCGCCAUGCCGCAUACGCAUCAGCAAGUAUGGCAUCCAGCUGAAUUUCCCCAGCAGCAGAAGCAACCGGCCUCCACGCCUCUACCGCAGGAGCAACCGACCGCCGUACCCCAGCAAGUGUGGUAUCCAGCUCAAAUGUCACGGCAGCAACUGACCUCCAUGCCUCUACCGCAGAAGCGACUGACCGACGUGCCUCAGCAAGAGUGGCAACCAGCUCAAAUACCGCAGAAGCAACCGGCUGCUGAACCGCAGCAGAACGAACCGGCCACCAUACCCCAGCAAGUGGGGUAUCCAGCUCAAAUGUCCCAGCAGCGGAAGCAACACACUGCCAUGCCACAGCACCAACUGACCCCCAUGCCUCAGCAAUUAUGGCAUGUAGCUCAAAUGCCCCAGAAGCAACUGGCCCCAAUGUCUCAGCAGAAUCACUACGAAACCACUGAAGAUGGUGAACAGACAGGUGUCAUCCCAAUCUAUUCCUACAGUUCCAAAUCGCACUACGAGAAUGGCAGGACUGUAUUCUCCCUAACCCGCUACACUCCUAGGGAGGCUAUGCUUGUUCACAUUGGAAAUGCUCCCAAGGACAGUUUUGUUCGUACUGGUGCACCAAGCGUAUAUCCAUCACUAGUGAAAGAUUCUGCAAGGUAAUGGUUCACUUUAACCUGCUCUGAACUUUGCUCUCUGAAUUUGAAGUCCUUUGUACUAACCAUAUCUUUCAACAAGAAAAUGUAAUGGAUUCAUCCUCUAGAAGCUAAUGGUGAGAAUUGUUUUUGACAUUGGUUACUUAACAUUCUGUGUUGCUGACACUGCAUUUCUUUCUGCUUUUGUUUCGACCAGGAAGUGUCUGGUGCUCUUGCUACUCUAGCGUGAGGGAGUACAUGAACAGUUCUUCUUUAAAAAAAUGCCCUGUCUCUGUGAAAUAGUGGUUCUUGUGUCCAUUGCUUGCUAAUUGAGAACAGGUGGUGUGCAGUCUGUAGUAAAAAUGACUGCUCAGUUAAUUCUUUGGUUUUCUAGUCUUUUACCUUUGCUACUGGUUGUUCAAAAUAAAAGCUUGGGUCUACAUUUGUCAAGGGGUGAGUUGUCAGACCUUCUUCAUAUGUUCAUACUUUAGAUGUAGGCAUGCAUUGUAUACAGUGAGACUGUCUUCAACCUCAGUAAGCUAACAUAUAGGGAAUGGUUUUUAGAUGGUCAGACCAUGGCUCAUUUAGCUACUAGAAUUGAGUGACCAUUUGGUUUCAAACUUGCAUUUGGCCUUAUACUAUAGCCCAUACCACAAAUGGCAAAGAGUCAAAUCAGUUUAGGAGUGUCUGUUCCAUAUCUAGCUGAAUCAAAUGUUAUUGUUGAUGCUUCUACCUCCAUACUUCUGUUUGUAUGGGUUACCUGUCUUACAAUUGUGGGGUCAUAGAGGGAAACGUAACUAUGUUCGGGAGUCAAUUUCCCAUAAUGGUCAGUUUGUAGGCCAAACCGUUCUGAAGCUAUAGAUGUUUUUGAGACUGCAUUUUUUGGGUGUCAGACCAACACCACUGUAGCUCGGCCCCUGUCCACCGCAGAUGCAACGGGCGGCUGCAGUGUCUUGAGACGCAGCCCAUUCAAAAUGUUCUAGCUUCAACUGGAUUUUGAUGGGCCUUUUACUUUGACUGCCUCAAUACUCUUCAGCUGUAGCCCAUUCCUCCUAGUCCAUUUAUUGUACCACAGGCUCCUGUGUAUUUGGUAUCUACAAUGCCUGGAACGGUUUAACCGCUCAAUUAACAAAUAAAUUCUGUAUAGACUGUCUUUAAACAUGCACAUUUUUCUUAACCAAUCAAUCGAACUGCGUAGUAUGAGAAUUAGGCCCUUUAAUGGAUCCAUUAAGUUCCAAAGCGGAAGCUGGUAGGCACUAACAUGACAGUUUAGCUAGCAUAAGAUGUCACCCAGGACUUUUGGACAACUUGACAUAUUUGCCUGUUGUAGUUGACUGUUUGGCCAGACUCAUGAACAUGAAUGAAAUUGUAUAUGCAUUGAAUUUUCAACAAGAAGUUAGUUUACUGUUGGACAAUCUCUUGUCUAGUGUACGUCAACAGACAACUUCAUUUAAUUUGUCACAGUAUGGAAUUUUUGGACACGAUCUCAAUGUGUGUGCAACCUUUUUGCACAACACAUUUCUACCGGACCACUGAGGUUGCAC
ensembl:lncRNA